CUUUGGAGGAAGAAGUUUUGCUUUUAGCUGUCGCUCUUGAUGAAGACGAAGGUGAAUCCCAGCGAAAGAGACUAAUCGCUUGGGUUCGUGAUAUAAACUUGUCAAGAGAGGAACUGGGGGAGUUUUAUACACUGAUACCCCAACUCCUGAAGGACGAAAAACGGUUCUACAUAUAUUUCAGGAUGAAUAUUGACAGGUUUGAUGAAAUCCUGAGAGCCGUCAGGCAAGAUAUCACUAAACAGUAUACCAAUUGGUGGAGGCCUAUUCUUGCCAUGAAGUGGAGGAUUUUUUUGAGACUCAUAGAACUGAAAGAAGAAAAUAUAAAACACAUUGUAUCAGCAGCAUAUUUGCUUCAUAAUUUUCUACGUCUCAAAAACUGCGAUGAAAAGUACAGGGAAGAACUGCUACGAGUGGAGCCAUUAGAAGGAGAAAUGUAUCAUAUCCAACCUUUACGUCUCCCAAGGGCGGCAAACGUUAGCUACGCCAUUAGAGAGCGGUUUGUUGCAUACUUCAACUAGAUGACUGUCCCUGGAAUUCGUGUUAGUGAACGGAACUGGUGCAUAGCCUACAUUAAGAAUGUCCAUAGUUACUGUAUACUUAACCCUAUAUAAAUAUAUACAAAUUUUUCUA